AGACUUUGAAUAAAGCAGGUUAUGCUCCACAGUGUGGGUAAGGUUCAUUCAAUCCACUGAAGGCCUUAGGAGAAAACACUGAAGUCCCCAGAGGAAGAGGGAAUUCUGCCUCCUGACUGUCUUCAGACUGAAACUGCAACAUCAUCUCUUCCCUGGGUCUCAAGUCUUCCAGCCUACCCUGCAUAUUUUGGACUUGCCAACCUCCAUAAUCACAGAAAUUUAAAGAGAAGACUACCACAGGAGAGAGAGAAAGAGACAUUAGUGAGAAGCUGAAGAUCUUACAAUAUGAAACACUAAUAGAGGCCAAUAGAAGAAUAGAAACAGGAAAUAACAGAGGAAUCAGAGAAAGCACACAAGACCCUACCAAGAAUUUCCAAAAGAGAGAAGGAAACAGGCACUAGUAAGAAGCCACCAUGACCAGCUGACUGGCUGAGUUCUAACACUGGCUGUGCUACAGUGCACAGGACCUUAGGUGCACAGUCUGUCUUCAUUUCCUCCAUCUAUAAAACUGGAUGGAAAGUAGGUAAACUAGAUUAGUGUUUCUCCAGUUUCAAUGAGAAAAUGAAUCACCAGGUUGGGGGGUGGGUGGGCAUGGUAAAAAUGCAGAUUUUGAGACAGUCUCAAAAUCAUUUUUACCCAUGGUAAAAAUGGGUCUGACAUGCAGCCCAUUUAUUUUCUUUUCUUUUUUCUUUUUUGAGACAGUCUCGUUCUGUUGCCUAGGCUGGAGUAAAGUAGCAUGAUCUCUGUCCACUGCAGGCUCUGCCUCCUGAGCUCAAGCCAUCCUCCCUCCUCAGACUCCCAAACAGCUGGUACUACAGGCACACACCAACACAUCCUACUAAUUUUUGUAUUUUUUGUAGAGACAGGAUUUUGCCAUGUUGCCGAGGCUGGUCUCAAACUCCUAAACUCAAGCAAUCCAUCCAUCUUGGCCUCCCAAAAUGUUAGGAUUACAGUUGUGAGCCACCAUGCUCGGUCCAUGCAGCCCAUUUCUAAGAAGACUGCAUUUUCCAGGAAGCUCUAACUGAUGCUAUGCCAUUAUUCCAUGGACCAUCCCCUUUUGAGCAGUAACAAACUAGAUGAUCAUUUAGGUUUCUUUUAACUUCUGAAAAUUGUUACUUUUAAAAAUAAUUAUUAGGAAGAAGAAUAGACUAACGGUGAGGAAAACUGGAUCAAGAAAAUUUUAACUGGUCACGGGACGCAUUUUGCAUGGCCAGAGCACCUGCACAUGUUACUAUUCCAUUAUAGCACUCAUUACACUGUCCAGUGACCUUCUUUUAAACUGCUUUCUCCCUGAAAAGAGGGGCUGGGUCUUUCAUUCUUGUAUUGCAAGGCCUAUCAAGGUACCUAAAAAUAUAUUUGAUGAAUAAAUAAACAGCAGAUAAUGUUUUCACAUUA